rnacentral:lncRNA from 1 species
CUACAAGAUACUGGGCACCUACAGGCCGGGAGCCUACCGACUGGAGACUCUAGAAGGAAUGGCCAUUCUCCAGACUUGGAAUGCUGACAACCUGAGAAUGUACUACCAGUGAUCCCUGUGUGCCCUUGUUCGGAAUACAAACUCAGUCUCAAAACUAUAGAGUCUAGAAUCUCAGCCCUCCAAUUGUGCGUCGGCGCUCAUCAGUAGUACGAGCCCCGACUUGGGCCCAACAUUUCAUUGGAAAUCUGUGGCCC